UCUGGUGCCCUCUUCUGGUGUAGAG
rnacentral:piRNA from 1 species